rnacentral:rRNA from 1 species
GACGAACGCUGGCGGCGCGCUUAACACAUGCAAGUCGAGCGAAGCGGCGGACGGGUGAGUAACACGUGAGUAACCUGCCUUAGACAUUGGGAUAGCCUCGGGAAACCGGGAUUAAUACCAAAUGGUCUAAGAUGGACUCGCGUCCCAUUAGCUAGUUGUUGAGGUAACGGCCCACCAAGGAGACGAUGGGUAGCCGGCGAGAGAGGGUGAACGGCCACAUUGGAACUGAGAAACGGUCCAAACUCUACGGGAGGGAGCAGUGGGGAAUAUUGCACAAUGGCGGGAACUAUGAUGCAGCGACGCCGCGUGAACGAAGAAGGCUUUCGAGUCGUAAAGGUCUUUUAUAUGGGAAGCAGUAUCAUAGAAGAAAGCUCCGGCUAAAUACGUGCCAGCAGCCGCGGUAAUUC